UUUCGCUUGACGAAGAUUAUCAAGAUGAUCUUUCUGAUGAUGAGAUACUCCAGAAAGCAUCUGGCGAGCCAUUCGUUUGACCUCCACGAAAAGUUCCCACCUUCUCUGGCUUCUUAAAUUAUAUUGAGUUUGACUCCGAGAAAUCCGUUAGAAGGUGCGUUGUUACCUAUCCAAACUAACCAAAGGGACAUGAGCUGUAUGGGUGCGAGGAUGGGGCUAGGGAUGUUUGCUGGGGAGUUAGGGAGCUUGAAUCUUGAAGAUAUGCUCAAUGCUGCAUCA